CCAUCCUGGUACAGCAUCAGGAUGUAGGACCUGAAGCCAUCAGUGGUCAGGACAGCCUGGUAUGUGACUGUCUGUGGAGAAGCGUUGAAGACAGGCACAGAGAAGGUCAUUGCCUGCGGGUCUUGGGGGUUUUUGACAACUCAGCAGCACCUGUGUUCCAUCUGUCCCUUACCUUGCGGGUGUCAGUCCAUGCUGCGUAGACAGGUGCCUUCUCCCAGGUGAUCUUCAGGGUCCAGGCUGCAGAGUAGGAGGACCUCAGGUACCGCCGGACCUUCGCUUCCACAUCACGGACAAACGGCGGCUUGGCCGUGUUGAGGGUGGAGAACUCCUGU